AUGAAGUAUGCGGGAGACAGGCACCAGCCUGGCCGAAGGGGCAAAACUCUCAGGCGUUUGUUUCAAUCUUUAAAGGAUUGCACGCAAGCA
rnacentral:ncRNA from 2 species